GUCACUGCGGCCCCUUAGUGCCCUGCAGGGCUCGAUACGCGUUAUUUCCACCACAAUCCUGUGAAAUAGGGGCCACAAUUACUGCCAUUUUACAAGUGGAGAAAACUGGCCUGAAACGGUUUUGUGACGCAGCCCUGCCUACCGUACAGCUGUAAUGGGCGCCAGGGCCCGAGCUGGAACCCAGGGACCCGGAUUCCACUCCUAUGCACGUGCCUCCCGGCCUCGCCUCCUCACACACGAGCUGCAGAUCCGAGUCUCUCGUCUCUCUGUGUGUCAGGGACGCCUUCAAAUACUUCGCCGGUACUAAUUCAUUGGAUCUUUUGAGUUGGCGAUAAUCACUAUUAUUGUUACUAUUGUAAUUCUGCAUUGGAAGAAACUGAGGCAAAGAAAGGCUAAUCAAUUUUCUCAAAGACACACCAUUAAAAGACGGCAGCACUUGGGCGAGGACCCCACAGCCCAGCUCCAGACUCCGGGCUCCUGACUGCCGCCAUUAUGCUGCUUCCCAUCUUUGUGUGACUGCAGCCGGAUGGUAUCAGUUUAGAAGUCAUCCGUGCUUCUAUGAGAUCGGAUUAAUCUUCACCACAAGCCUGAGAGGGGCUGCAGGACUUUCAAAGCGACUGAGGAGUCCACAGAGCCAUCCCUGUGACUGACCCAGCACCUUCCGGAUGUCUUGGAUUCCUCUCUUGGAAACUGAAGGAGAAGAGCAGAUUCCCCGGGCCUAUCUUUGUGGGCUGAGGUGUGGCCCCUUGACAAGGAUGCCAAGAUUUCUGGAAUUCCUCAGGAUGCACCAUUGACUCCGUGAGGGCCCCCUCCCAGAAGGCUGGACAAGAAGAAUUGAAGCAAUAUUUUCAUCUGCUGGAAGUUUAAAUGUUAAUAAAUAGUUUAAAAUGACUCCUGAAUCUCGAGUUCAUCCUCCAGCCAGUCUGUGCCAGCCUCCGCUGCCCUUCUCAAGCAGAAGAGCUC
rnacentral:lncRNA from 1 species